CAGUCGCCACGGUAAAACGAAGGUCCCAAGCGUUGUUCUGAAUCACUGGGCGUAAAGGGAGCGUAGGCGGCGUGGUAAGUCAGAUGUGAAAUCCCGGGGCUCAACCCCGGAACUGCAUCCGAUACUGCCAUGCUUGAGGGUUGGAGAGGUAGCUGGAAUUCUUGGUGUAGCAGUGAAAUGCGUAGAUAUCAAGAGGAACACUCGUGGCGAAGGCGAGCUACUGGACAACAUCUGACGCUGAGGCUCGAAGGCCAGGGUAGCGAAAGGGAUUAGAUACCCCCGUAGUCCCUGUCUCUUAUAC
rnacentral:rRNA from 1 species